UACGUAGGGAGCAAGCGUUGUCCGGAAUCAUUGGGCGUAAAGCGCGCGUAGGUGGUCCCGUAAGUCCGCUGUGAAAGUCAAAGGCUCAACCUUUGAAAGCCGGUGGAUACUGUGGGACUAGAGUACGGAAGAGGCGAGUGGAAUUCCUGGUGUAGCGGUGGAAUGCGCAGAUAUCAGAAGGAACACCAAUAGCGAAGGCAGCUCGCUGGGACGUUACUGACACUGAGGCGCGAAAGCGUGGGGAGCGAACAGG
rnacentral:rRNA from 1 species